GGAAGGAGAAGUCGUAACAAGGUUUCGCAAUGCUCCUCUUCGCGACCAAACCGUCGGGGCCCGACGGUUGGUUCGAGACGCACGGAAGCCUGAGUGCUCUCCAUGAGAAGAGCGCUAGUGUCGUGCUCGUUCGGAGCCGAUGCGACGUCGUCAAACUGCGGGGAGUGGUCUUAUGAUGUCGGGUUACCAAGCACGGCAGCCGGCACGUCCAGGCUGAGUGUGGCCGGGCCUUGCAGGCUCGGGUAAGGUUACAACACCCGACCUUCGAGACCUCACCCGCAACCAAACCUCGUGACGCACGGGGUGCUGCCCACAGACUAAAUGGCGAUGGGUUGCUUGGGGCGAAUGCAUUGCCCAUGGCAGCUCAAGAUAUAGUCGGCCCGGCG
rnacentral:rRNA from 1 species